rnacentral:rRNA from 1 species
UACGUAUGGGGCAAGCGUUAUCCGGAUUUACUGGGUGUAAAGGGAGCGCAGGCGGCCAGGCAAGCCUGAUGUGAAAUACCGGGGCCCAACCCCGGGGCUGCAUUGGGAACUGCCAGGCUGGAGUGCCGGAGAGGCAGGCGGAAUUCCUAGUGUAGCGGUGAAAUGCGUAGAUAUUAGGAGGAACACCAGUGGCGAAGGCGGCCUGCUGGACGGUGACUGACGCUGAGGCUCGAAAGCGUGGGGAGCAAACAGG